rnacentral:rRNA from 1 species
ACGGGGUAGUAACGGGUAGGUGACGUACCCUCGGGUUGGGGAUAGCCACGGGAAACUGUGGGUAAUACCCAAUAAUCUCCUGGAGCUUGAAGGCUUCGGGAGCAAAGGUGUGAUUCCACCGGAGGAGCGGCCUGCUUCGUAUUAGCUAGUUGGUGAGGUAACGGCUCACCAAGGCAUCGAUGCGUAGGGGGUGUGAGAGCAUGACCCCCACCACUGGGACUGAGAUACUGCCCAGACACCUACGGGUGGCUGCAGUCGAGAAUCUUCGGCAAUGGGCGCAAGCCUGACCGAGCGACGCCGCGUGUGGGAUGAAGGCCCUUGGGUUGUAAACCACUGUCAGAGGGGAUGAAGUGCCAGAGAGUUAUCUCUUUGGUUUGACAUAGCCUCAGAGGAAGUACGGGCUAAGUUCGUGCCAGCAGCCGCGGUAAUACGAACUGUGCAAACGUUAUUCGGAAUCACUGGGCUUACAGGGUGCGUAGGCGGCUUGUUAAGUAGGGUGUGAAAGCCCCCGGCUCAACCGGGGAAUGGCGCCUUAAACUGGCGAGCUGGAGUGAGAUAGGGGUGUGCGGAACUUCCGGU